rnacentral:rRNA from 1 species
UACGUAGGGUGCAAGCGUUGUCCGGAAUUAUUGGGCGUAAAGAGCUCGUAGGCGGUCUGUCGCGUCUGCUGUGAAAACUCAGGGCUUAACCCUGAGCUUGCAGUGGGUACGGGCAGACUAGAGUGCGGUAGGGGAGACUGGAAUUCCUGGUGUAGCGGUGAAAUGCGCAGAUAUCAGGAGGAACACCGAUGGCGAAGGCGGGUCUCUGGGCCGUAACUGACGCUGAGGAGCGAAAGCGUGGGGAGCGAACAGG